rnacentral:tRNA from 1 species
UCUAUUUAAUAUAGAAAUAAGCCGCCAUGGUGAAAUAGGUAGACACGCUGCUCUUAGGAAGCAGUGCUUGAGCUUCUCGG